CGGGAUAUAGUUCAGUUUGGCAGAACGCUCCACCUGGGAUGGAGAGGUCGUAGGUUCAAAUCCUGCUAUUCCGA
rnacentral:tRNA from 1 species